GAGAAUUGCUUCAAUCCAGGAGGUGGAGGUUGCAGUGAGCCGAGAUGGCGCCACUGCACUCCAGCCUGGGCCACAGAGCGAGACCCUGUCUCAAAAAAGAAAAAAAAAAAAAAAAAGGAAAGAAACGAACAGCAUGGCUUCAGUUCACUCAGAGACAAAUCCUUGGGGACUAGCAGUGGAGCCAUCUCUCUGCCGUUUGAUGGCCUGGAGCUCUCUCUGUCCUUAUUUUUAACAUGAGAAAGAAAACAAACAGGGCUUAGCAGGAUUUGCAUUAUAAGAGUAAUUUUCUCCUUGCAAAAGAAAUAGAACAGGCCAUAUUAUCCAACGUAUCUAAUGAGUUUUAAAGUAAACAAGGUUUGACCCGUUCUCAACUGCCCCCUUGUCCCCGCCUCCCAGGGCCACCGCUGAGGUGCUCACAUGGGUCUCGCUGUGGCCACUGCUCCCGUUGCUCCCUCUCCACCAGGGCCAAGGAGAGCUUCCUGAUACCUGCAGCCUGGCCUCGUCCACCUCCACAGCAGCAGGCAGAGCUAAGACGCCCUGGCAAAAUCCAGAUCCUGGAGCGGACCUGAAGAAACAAGAUUCAUCUUCCUGGUCUCACACACGGCAAAGCCCGAGAUGCCACAGCUGAGGAAGGUCCUGUCAGCGCCGCCUCCCCCAGGCCCGGCUCUGGUGUCCUGGGCAGCCCCCACACCCUCACUCAGCCAGGCCCCCAGCAGUCUCUCUCCGUUUGGAGUGAGACGUGGGAGGGGCAUCUCAUUGAGAAGCGCGAGAAGGGAGAAGGGCCCUCAAGUCCCCACGUGGCCUUGGCAAGUCACUCUGCUUGCUAAACGAUGUUGACCUCGCCUGGAAAAUGGGAGGACCCACUCCUAGGAGAGUAUGGGUCUCAAGGCAUUUUUACAAGCACAGCCUGAGUGGGGACGGGGCUCCAGCCUCAGUCCCCUAGUCCAUCACGCUCCCAAAUCCCUCUCCCGACAGCUCUCAGGGCCGAAGGCCUGGGUUGCCUCCUCUCCCUCUCACCAGCACAGCUGAGGGUCUCACCCUCCUCACAUCCCUUCAAAACAUAAGCCAAAACCAAAAACCGCCAAGGGUGCUGCUUAUAACAAGGUUUUAAUAAAAUAAAAAGUUCAAGUGCUUCCAA